GAUGAAGAACGCAGUGAAAUGCGAUACUUGGUGUGAAUUGCAGAAUCCCGUGAACCAUCGAGUCUUUGAACGCAAGUUGCGCCCGAAGCCAUCAGGUUGAGGGCACGUCUGCCUGGGCGUCACAUAUCGUUGCCCAAUGCCUAUUGCAGUGCAAUAGGAAUUUCUAGGGCGAAUGAUGGCUUCCCGUGAGCGUUGUUGUCUCGCGGUUGGUUGAAAAUCGAGUCCUUGGUAGGGUGUGCCAUGGUAGAUGGUGGUCGAGUUAGAACGAUACCGAUCAUGUGCAUGCUCCCCAAAAUAUGGCCUCUAUGACCCACACGCGUCUUUUGACGCUCAUGACGAGACCUCAGGUCAGGCGGGGCUACCCGCUGAAUUUAAGCAUAUCAAUAAGCGGAGGA
rnacentral:misc_RNA from 1 species